rnacentral:rRNA from 1 species
CCUACGGGAGGCAGCAGUGGGGAAUAUUGGGCAAUGGGCGCAAGCCUGACCCAGCAACGCCGCGUGAAGGAAGAAGGCUUUCGGGUUGUAAACUUCUUUUGUCAGGGAAGAGUAGAAGACGGUACCUGACGAAUAAGCAUCGGCUAACUCCGUGCCAGCAGCCGCGGUAAUACGGAGGAUGCGAGCGUUAUCCGGAUUUAUUGGGUUUAAAGGGUGCGUAGGCGGUAUUUUAAGUUAGUGGUAAAACGUCGGGGCUUCACCUUGAUUGGCCAUUAAAACUGGAGUACUAGAGUACAGACGAGGUAGGCGGAAUAAGUUAAGUAGCGGUGAAAUGCUUAGAUAUAACUUAGAACCCCGAUAGCGAAGGCAGCUUACCAGACUGUUACUGACGCUGAAGCACGAGAGCGUGGGUAGCGAACAGGAUUAGAUACCCCAGUAGUC